UUUCCGGUUGAUCCUGCCGGAAGUUACUGCUAUUGGUGUUCGACUAAGCCAUGCAAGUCAUAUGUUCCUCGUGAACAUGGCAUACUGCUCAGUAACACGUGGAUAACCUGCCCUUGGGUCUGGGAUAACCCCGGGAAACUGGGGAUAAUACAGGAUAACGCAUAUGUGCUGGAAUGCUUUAUGCGUAAAACGGAUUCGUCAGCCCAAGGAUGGGUCUGCGGCCUAUCAGGUAGUAGUGGGUGUAAUGUACCUACUAGCCAACAACGGGUACGGGUUGUGAGAGCAAGAGCCCGGAGAUGGAUUCUGAGACAUGAAUCCAGGCCCUACGGGGCGCAGCAGGCGCGAAAACUUUACAAUGCGGGAAACCGUGAUAAGGGAACACCGAGUGCCAGCAUCAUAUGCUGGCUGUCCAGAUGUGUAAACUACAUCUGUUAGCAAGGGCCGGGCAAGACCGGUGCCAGCCGCCGCGGUAACACCGGCGGCCCGAGUGGUGACCGUUAUUAUUGGGUCUAAAGGGUCCGUAGCCGGUUUGGUCAGUCCUCCGGGAAAUCUGAUAGCUUAACUGUUAGGCUUUCGGGGGAUACUGCCAGGCUUGGAACCGGGAGAGGUAAGAGGUACUACAGGGGUAGGAGUGAAAUCUUGUAAUCCCUGUGAGACCACCUGUGGCGAAGGCGUCUUACCAGAACGGGUUCGACGGUGAGGGACGAAAGCUGGGGGCACGAACCGGAUUAGAUACCCGGGUAGUCCCAGCCGUAAACUAUGCUCGCUAGGUGUCAGGCAUGGCGCGACCGUGUCUGGUGCCGCAGGGAAGCCGUGAAGCGAGCCACCUGGGAAGUACGGCCGCAAGGCUGAAACUUAAAGGAAUUGGCGGGGGAGCACAACAACGGGUGGAGCCUGCGGUUUAAUUGGAUUCAACGCCGGG
rnacentral:rRNA from 1 species